AAUGAACGCUGGCGGCGCGCUUAAUACAUGCAAGUCGAACGAGAAAGUCGAAAGAUGAGUACAGUGGCGCACGGGUGAGUAACGCGUAAGUAAUCUGCCCUUAAGACCGGGAUAACACCGCGAAAGCGGUGCUAAUACUGGAUAAGCUCACGGCUGGGUAACUUAGCUGUGAGAAAAGCAUGCCUCUAUUUAUAAGCAUGCACUAAAGGAUGAGCUUGCGUAUCCAUUAGCUAGUUGGCGGGGUAAAGGCCCACCAAGGCGAUGAUGGAUAGCUGGUCUGAGAGGAUGGUCAGCCACACUGGAGCUGAGACACGGUCCAGACUCCUACGGGAGGCAGCAGUAGGGAAUUUUGCGCAAUGGGGGAAACCCUGACGCAGCGACGCCGCGUGAGUGAUGAAGGCCUUCGGGUUGUAAAGCUCUGUCAAGCUGGACGAACGCCGCUUGGUCUAAUAGGCCAGGUGGGUGACGGUACAGCUGGAGGAAGCACCGGCUAACUCUGUGCCAGCAGCCGCAGUAA
rnacentral:rRNA from 1 species